UACAGAGGUCCCGAGCGUUGUUCGGAUUCACUGGGCGUAAAGGGUGCGUAGGUGGCAUGUUAAGUUUGAUGUGAAAGCUCAGGGCUUAACCCUGAAAUGGCAUUGAAUACUAGCGUGCUGGAGGUUUGGAGGGGGGACUGGAAUUCUUGGUGUAGCAGUGAAAUGCGUAGAUAUCAAGAGGAACACCAGUGGCGAAGGCGUGUCCCUGGACAACACCUGACACUGAGGCACGAAAGCUAGGGGAGCAAACAGG
rnacentral:rRNA from 1 species